rnacentral:rRNA from 1 species
GACGAACGCUGGCGGCGUGCCUAAUACAUGCAAGUCGAACGCUUCUUUCCUCCCGAGUGCUUGCACUCAAUUGGAAAGAGGCGUGGCGGACGGGUGAGUAACACGUGGGUAACCUACCCAUCAGAGGGGGAUAACACUUGGAAACAGGUGCUAAUACCGCACAACAGUUUAUGCCGCAUGGCAUAAGAGUGAAAGGCGCUUUCGGGUGUCGUUGAUGGAUGGACCCGCGGUGCAUUAGCUAGUUGGUGAGGUAACGGCUCACCAAGGCCACGAUGCAUAGCCGACCUGAGAGGGUGAUCGGCCACACUGGGACUGAGACACGGCCCAGACUCCUACGGGAGGCAGCAGUAGGGAAUCUUCGGCAAUGGACGAAAGUCUGACCGAGCAACGCCGCGUGAGUGAAGAAGGUUUUCGGAUCGUAAAACUCUGUUGUUAGAGAAGAACAAGGACGUUAGUAACUGAACGUCCCCUGACGGUAUCUAACCAGAAAGCCACGGCUAACUACGUG